GGUUAAAAAUGCAAAUGUACCUGCAUAGUAGGGGGAAUGGAAAGAUCCAGCAAAGAAUGUUAUUUUGGCCUCAUUCAGCUGAAGGUUAUCCAUUCACUCUCAUAAGAAGGCGGGGUCUCAAGCGCUAUCCAAUCAGGGACACGUGCAUGAGGACUGUCCAAUCAAGCACAUUUCUAGAAAGGAGAAGGCAGGAUUUCCUAACCUCCCGGAUCUUGGUUCCCGGAUUCUGCCGUAUUGGAAUCCGUUCUUCUGCCUGGCAGGCCUCAGAGGCUCUGCCCUUCCCCAGUCGCCCUGUCAUCCACCCUGAGUGCGCGAGCCUCACCGGAAGCCGGAUAUGCUACUGUGUAGAGAUCUUUGUACAACAGAACCUAGGAACAAGGCACACCAACUCUCAUGAUUCCUUCCAUUCACCUUGUCUUCCAACUGUAAUUCCAUAGUCUCCUAUCUGUCUCCAGGAACAAAGAAAAUGAAUACCACUGUGGUAAGUUAUAUUCCUCAGC
rnacentral:lncRNA from 1 species